GGCGAGCGAAGCGGGAAGAGCUCAAAUUUAUAAUCUGGCACCUUCGGUGUCCGAGUUGUAAUCUCUAGAAAUGUUUUCCGCGUUGGACCGCACACAAGUCUGUUGGAAUACAGCGGCAUAGUGGUGAGACCCCCGUAUAUGGUGCGGACGCCCAGCGCUUUGUGAUACAUUUUCGAAGAGUCGAGUUGUUUGGGAAUGCAGCUCAAAUUGGGUGGUAAAUUCCAUCUAAAGCUAAAUAUUGGCGAGAGACCGAUAGCGAACAAGUACCGUGAGGGAAAGAUGAAAAGCACUUUGGAAAGAGAGUUAACAGUACGUGAAAUUGUUGGAAGGGAAACGCUUGAAGUCAGACUUGCUUGCCG
rnacentral:rRNA from 1 species